GUUAAAUGAUUGUUUUGACUUCAUGAAAAUCUUCACAUCAAAGAAAUAUCUUCAGGUUCCUUUAACAAUAGGAGCUACCUCAGAAAACAAAACAUGUUUCAUUAAUUAUCAGCUGGAAACAAGCAAAAUUCCUUCUCUAACUUUUUAUGCUCACAGAAGCCUUUUAAAGGCAGUUUGCUUGUGUCCUUCCCUAGACAGGCAAGCAGACUGCAUGGACAUGGCUGACUCGUCUCAGCUAUCGAGCUCCAGGACUGAAAGACAGACAGAAGAAAAGCUUCAUUGACUCACUGAAUUAGCACCUGAAAACUCAAGCAACACAAGACUGCUUCUGAGACCAUCAUGCUUUACUUCAGUGACCAUGAAAAUGAGGACAAACAGAUCAAACUAUGCUCCUAAUUUGGACAUCUUCCAGUGUCAACAAAACCUGUUCAAGCAGAUUCUUACCUUGUUUUCACUACAUCAAGAGGAUGCAUCAGGCAAAUUUCUACAAGGCC